CCCAAACCUCUUUCCCCCAGGAGCCAUCCCUUCCCUCCCGCUUUCGAAACGGAGUUUCUUGAGUUUCUUGUUCCUCCCGACUGGAGCUCUGAUCUCAUUCAUCGGAGAAGAGUUGCCAUCGUCGCACAGAUAGGAAGCUUUUCGGAUCGCGGUACGAGUUCUUAGCUGCCCCCUUUCGUCGUCCGGAUCGAGAUGCUGAGGUUGCUGAAAUGAUGGAGAAGCUCACAGCUGUCAAUAAGAUAUGCCUGAGCAAGGGAAAAAUGUAUUACCAUUGAGGAGCAGCAACAUAGUGUACUAUAAUAUUCAACAAUUUUUUCAGUCUGUUUACUUUGUUAGGACUCAGGAUCAUUUAUUGUGUUGCAUCUUCAAUCUGUGGAAACUAGAUUAGGAUUCGGACAUAAUGAUAUUCAAAUAAAGGUGAACUUUCUACUGGACAUACUCAGAAAAACCUCUCCUACCACUCAAUGUCAAAGUUGCAGUCUUUAGUAAUUUUCUUUUCUA